rnacentral:rRNA from 1 species
GACGAACGCUGGCGGCGUGCUUAACACAUGCAAGUCGAACGGAAAGGCCCUGCUUUUGUGGGGUGCUCGAGUGGCGAACGGGUGAGUAACAUGUGAGUAACCUGCCCUUGACUUUGGGAUAACUGCAGGAAACUGGGGCUAAUACCGGAUAGGAGCUCCUGCUGCAUGGGGGGUGUUGGAAAGUUUCGGCGGUUGGGGAUGGACUCGCGGCUUAUCAGCUUGUUGGUGGGGUAGUGGCUUACCAAGGCUUUGACGGGUAGCCGGCCUGAGAGGGUGACCGGCCACAUUGGGACUGAGAUACGGCCCAGACUCCUACGGGAGGCAGCAGUGGGGAAUAUUGCACAAUGGGCGGAAGCCUGAUGCAGCAACGCCGCGUGCGGGAUGACGGCCUUCGGGUUGUAAACCGCUUUCGCCUGUGACGAAGCGUGAGUGACGGUAUUGGGUAAAGAAGCACCGGCUAACUACGUG